rnacentral:pre_miRNA from 1 species
AGCGCCAUUUUCAGAGCUAUAAGUGUGAAAGUUGUCAUAGCUCUUUUAAAUGGUACUGC